ensembl:lncRNA
GUUUGCCUUCCCGUGGCGCAUGGUAGGAAGUGUACAAGCAUGUACCUAACAAUGCUAGAAAACAGGCAGCCAAACUACUAUGCAAUAGCAUUGUAAUCUUCUGGCUAAUGUAACUACAUCAUACGCGAAUAGUAGUUAUAAACAAGGGUAUCUGCAGAGGGGAUGGGAAAAAGUCUUCAUGAAGACUUCAACUCAUUCUUUUUUUACAUGGGUUACCAUCUUGAGUUUUUUGGCCCCUCACUUCCACUAUGGAUCCCCCAGGGGUCUGAUCUCCAAACAUCUUCCUUUGGACAUUACCUUAUCUUGUUCUGACACGUGUCUUAUUGUUUUCCUCUUGCAACCCUAGAGAACAAUCAAUGGUUCUCCACCUUCAAAGGCUGUGUGCCAACCAAGAACUGUCCCUCUCUUUCCAUGAGUUUCACAUUUCCUUCGAAGCAUGAGCGAAGGAUGGCCAAGUGUUGCUACCAUGAUUUCUGCAACAAAGGAGUUGUGAAAUAUAAUCAAAUCUUUGUGCAUGCUAAACGUGGCUGUGGAACCAAGCAAGUCUGCUGGAAUAAAGAACGCACAUUUGGCAUCCCUGGGCUGUAUGCAGAAAUUUGGAAGAAUGUUACCUGUUCUCAUGCUGCCAAGUGAUUUGAUUUAAUGAGUGAAGAGGGGCUAGUCCCUUACAUCGUCAGAAGCUGGGCAAGUAGAGUGAAAUUGUACAAGAAUUCUAAUUAACAAUGAGCUCAUUUCUUUUUAUGGCAGAAUAAAAUCUUGUUGUGCUUCUUUAUGACAAUGUUGCUGAAUUAUUUGAAUGCUUCCUCCAGAUGGUUCCUAUGCUGCACUUUGGAAUUCAUCUAUAGUUACUGUAAGGAUUCCAGAAAAACUCCACUCCAACAAUAACUCUGAGACAGACCUCUCAACAAUUCUGUUUUAUUUGGAUAGUAAACUGGCACAUCUGGGGAAUCUCGAAACUGAAAGUUCCAGGGUUUCUAGCAAUAAGUAAAAACUACAAAUCCACCCCCUGCACCCAUCAUCAUAUCACAUGCCCCAAUCACCAUCCAUCCCAACUUGAGACAACUCAUCACCCAGGUGCAGAAAUAACAUGACCUUGACUUAGAAAAAGAAUGCUAUUAUGUCUAACUACACACACUCUAAGACAGUUACUUUUGGCAAACUGGAAAUAUCCAACACUUUUAGGAUGAAAUGCUGUAGACUCCUGCGGGGUCAGGGGUGGGAUUCUACCAGUUUACACCUAUUCUCUAGAACUGGUUGUUAACAUUCUAAGCAGUUUGGAGAACUGGUUGUUAGAAGAAAUUACUGGCCUAANCUGUAAGGAAGGCAGGAAGGAAACAUUCUGGUGUUGCUUACAGAAACUGCCUCUCCGUUAACCCUUAUUACAUUCUUGCAGGAUUAGACUUCCUAUCUCUGGAACUUCUCUGAAGUUUUUUUCCCCUCUGCUGGUACUUUGCUUGUGUGGAGUGACCAUUCAAAAUUACAAUGGCACUGAAAAAAGUGACUUAUGACUAUUUUUCACACUUACGACUGUUGCAGCAUUCCCACAGUCGUGAGAGGCCAGGCGAGGAGAUGCGUACCUCAAUGUGAGUGAUAUUGAGCUGGCCACACCCAGCCAGUCACAUGACCACCAAGCCAUGUCCACCCAGUCACAUGAUCAUCAAGCCACACCUACCACCUAAGCCACGCCUACAGAACUGGUUGUUAAAAAAUUUGAAUCCCACCCCUGGUGCUGGAGGAUGAAGUUGAUGAAUUGUACAAGUUCUUAUGCUUUCUUGCUUACUGCACAGAUGCAGCCACUUAUCUUUUCUAGGCCAAGGUCAACCUUCUUGGCAUAGCAGAUGUGUGGAAUAGAAUAAAAUAGAAUAUGGAAUAGAAUGGAAUAUAGAAUAGAAUAUGGAAUAGAAUAGAAUAGAAUAGAAUAUGGAAUAGAAUAAAAUAUACUGUAGAAUAGAAUAUGGGAUAGAAUAGAAUAUAGAAUAGAAUAUGGAAUGGAGUAGAAUAGAAUAACAGAGUUGGAAGGGACCUUGGAGGUCUUCUAGUCUUCCUCCCUGCUUAGGCAGGAAAUCCUACACAACUUCAGACAAAUGGUUAUUCAACAUCUUUUUAAAAACUUCCAGUGUUGGAGCAUCCACAACUUCUGGAGGCAAGUUGUUCCACUGAUUAAUUU